rnacentral:rRNA from 1 species
GAUGAACGCUGGCGGCGUGCCUAAUACAUGCAAGUCGAGCGAACGGACGAGAAGCUUGCUUCUCUGAUGUUAGCGGCGGACGGGUGAGUAACACGUGGAUAACCUACCUAUAAGACUGGGAUAACUUCGGGAAACCGGAGCUAAUACCGGAUGAUAUUUUGAACCGCAUGGUUCAAAAGUGAAAGACGGUCUUGCUGUCACUUAUAGGUGGAUCCGCGCUGCAUUAGCUAGUUGGUAAGGUAACGGCUUACCAAGGCAACGAUGCAUAGCCGACCUGAGAGGGUGAUCGGCCACACUGGAACUGAGACACGGUCCAGACUCCUACGGGAGGCAGCAGUAGGGAAUCUUCCGCAAUGGGCGAAAGCCUGACGGAGCAACGCCGCGUGAGUGAUGAAGGUCUUCGGAUCGUAAAACUCUGUUAUUAGGGAAGAACAUAUGUGUAAGUAACUGUGCACAUCUUGACGGUACCUAAUCAGAAAGCCACGGCUAACUACGUGCCAGCAGCCGCGGUAAUACGUAGGUGGCAAGCGUUAUCCGGAAUUAUUGGGCGUAAAGCGCGCGUAGGCGGUUUUUUAAGUCUGAUGUGAAAGCCCACGGCUCAACCGUGGAGGGUCAUUGGAAACUGGAAAACUUGAGUGCAGAAGAGGAAAGUGGAAUUCCAUGUGUAGCGGUGAAAUGCGCAGAGAUAUGGAGGAACACCAGUGGCGAAGGCGACUUUCUGGUCUGUAACUGACGCUGAUGUGCGAAAGCGUGGGGAUCAAACAGGAUUAGAUACCCUGGUAGUCCACGCCGUAAACGAUGAGUGCUAAGUGUUAGGGGGUUUCCGCCCCUUAGUGCUGCAGCUAACGCAUUAAGCACUCCGCCUGGGGAGUACGACCGCAAGGUUGAAACUCAAAGGAAUUGACGGGGACCCGCACAAGCGGUGGAGCAUGUGGUUUAAUUCGAAGCAACGCGAAGAACCUUACCAAAUCUUGACAUCCUUUGACAACUCUAGAGAUAGAGCCUUCCCCUUCGGGGGACAAAGUGACAGGUGGUGCAUGGUUGUCGUCAGCUCGUGUCGUGAGAUGUUGGGUUAAGUCCCGCAACGAGCGCAACCCUUAAGCUUAGUUGCCAUCAUUAAGUUGGGCACUCUAAGUUGACUGCCGGUGACAAACCGGAGGAAGGUGGGGAUGACGUCAAAUCAUCAUGCCCCUUAUGAUUUGGGCUACACACGUGCUACAAUGGACAAUACAAAGGGCAGCGAAACCGCGAGGUCAAGCAAAUCCCAUAAAGUUGUUCUCAGUUCGGAUUGUAGUCUGCAACUCGACUACAUGAAGCUGGAAUCGCUAGUAAUCGUAGAUCAGCAUGCUACGGUGAAUACGUUCCCGGGUCU